rnacentral:rRNA from 1 species
AGUGAACGCUGGCGGUAGGCCUAACACAUGCAAGUCGAACGGCAGCACAGUAAGAGCUUGCUCUUACGGGUGGCGAGUGGCGGACGGGUGAGGAAUACAUCGGAAUCUACUUUUUCGUGGGGGAUAACGUAGGGAAACUUACGCUAAUACCGCAUACGACCUACGGGUGAAAGCAGGGGAUCUUCGGACCUUGCGCGAUUGAAUGAGCCGAUGUCGGAUUAGCUAGUUGGCGGGGUAAAGGCCCACCAAGGCGACGAUCCGUAGCUGGUCUGAGAGGAUGUUCAGCCACACUGGAACUGAGACACGGUCCAGACUCCUACGAGAGGCAGCAGUGGGGAAUAUUGGACAAAGGGCGCAAGCCUGAUCCAGCCAUACCGCGUGGGUGAAGAAGGCCUUCGGGUUGUAAAGCCCUUUUGUUGGGAAAGAAAAGCAGCAGGUUAAUACCCCGCUGUUCUGACGGUACCCAAAGAAUAAGCACCGGCUAACUUCGUG